GGAUGUGAGAAGCGCUGCACGAACACAAUCCCGGCUGAGCUGAUUCACUCCGGCCGAGCCACCCCGCGGCCAGGACCACGUAUCCCACAGAAGUCAGUUACGCGUUCCCUGCAAGAAUGUUCGUCUCAGCAUUGUGCACGAUACCAAAAAUGUGGAAGCAAUCAACAGUGGGAGAGUUGGUGAAAUAAAUAAUGGGGCAUCGCUGCGUGGGAAGACCGCGCGCGGCCAUGAAGAAUUACGUCCUAGAAGAAUCUUGAGUGACACCAAGUGGAAAAUCCAGAUUUUAGUAGUAUAGAGCUUAUCUCGUUGGGAAAAUUAAAAAUUGGGAGACAGCAUCGUGUGCAGACAGACUGAAAGUAAAUACACAAAACCGCUAACAUUGUUUACGUGGGGCUAUUCAAGAGUUUCCAACUUGUUUACGACCAACGAGCGUUUCAGAUUGUUUCAAGCUUUCCUUUACGUUUAGAGAGCUUUCCAAAUACAAGGUGGACUCUGAUUCACCUCUUCCGAGUUAGAAGUGGUGAAUCAUCAAAUUUCCUAAUUUCCAGUAACUAGGAUGAGACCAUCCAUUGCCUGAUUCCACUUUUGCACGGGGCCUAGGACAAGGGGUAGUUGUAGGGUCAAGUGGCUGAAUGCCUGCACCAUGAUGUUUAAUGGUGACCACAGGAGCAUUCUACCCAUCCAGAAGAGAGCUGGCAGCUUCUUUUUGCAUGUGGCGGUGGUGCUUUGCCGGGUGAGGUAUUGAGUGAGACAGACAACCAUAGUACUGUCCCGUUGGCAAUUUCCCAUCUAAAAUAAACUGUAGUUAAUACGG